rnacentral:misc_RNA from 1 species
UUUGCUUGGAGGAUAGAGCAUUACUGUGCAGGCAAUGUGACAUAUCAACUUAUUCAACGAGUCCCCUAUGCAAUGUCACACCAAAGAUUUUUAAUUUCAGGUAUCAAAGUAACUCUUGAAUCCUCAUCUGAGCAUAGCAGAGAUCAAAAUUCCAGAAUGGAAAUGUCUAUGGAGUCUUCAUUCUAUUCUUCUCCAGGCCAGGAGAGCUUGGCAGCAAUCACAAUGAACUCG